UUAAAGAAAGCGUAAUAGCUCACUGGUCGAGUCGGCCUGCGCGGAAGAUGUAACGGGGCUAAACCAUGCACCGAAGCUGCGGCAGCGACGCUGAUGCGUUGUUGGGUAGGGGAGCGUUCUGUAAGCCUGCGAAGGUGUGCUGUGAGGCAUGCUGGAGGUAUCAGAAGUGCGAAUGCUGACAUAAGUAACGAUAAAGCGGGUGAAAAGCCCGCUCGCCGGAAGACCAAGGGUUCCUGUCCAACGUUAAUCGGGGCAGGGUGAGUCGACCCCUAAGGCGAGGCCGAAAGGCGUAGUCGAUGGGAAACAGGUUAAUAUUCCUGUACUUGGUGUUACUGCGAAGGGGGGACGGAGAAGGCUAUGUUGGCCGGGCGACGGUUGUCCCGGUUUAAGCGUGUAGGCUGGUUUUCCAGGCAAAUCCGGAAAAUCAAGGCUGAGGCGUGAUGACGAGGCACUACGGUGCUGAAGCAACAAAUGCCCUGCUUCCAGGAAAAGCCUCUAAGCAUCAGGUAACAUCAAAUCGUACCCCAAACCGACACAGGUGGUCAGGUAGAGAAUACCAAGGCGCUUGAGAGAACUCGGGUGAAGGAACUAGGCAAAAUGGUGCCGUAACUUCGGGAGAAGGCACGCUGAUAUGUAGGUGAGGUCCCUCGCGGAUGGAGCUGAAAUCAGUCGAAGAUACCAGCUGGCUGCAACUGUUUAUUAAAAACACAGCACUGUGCAAACACGAAAGUGGACGUAUACGGUGUGACGCCUGCCCGGUGCCGGAAGGUUAAUUGAUGGGGUCAGCGCAAGCGAAGCUCUUGAUCGAAGCCCCGGUAAACGGCGGCCGUAACUAUAACGGUCCUAAGGUAGCGAAAUUCCUUGUCGGGUAAGUUCCGACCUGCACGAAUGGCGUAAUGAUGGCCAGGCUGUCUCCACCCGAGACUCAGUGAAAUUGAACUCGCUGUGAAGAUGCAGUGUACCCGCGGCAAGACGGAAAGACCCCGUGAACCUUUACUAUAGCUUGACACUGAACAUUGAGCCUUGAUGUGUAGGAUAGGUGGGAGGCUUUGAAGUGUGGACGCCAGUCUGCAUGGAGCCGACCUUGAAAUACCACCCUUUAAUGUUUGAUGUUCUAACGUUGACCCGUAAUCCGGGUUGCGGACAGUGUCUGGUGGGUAGUUUGACUGGGGCGGUCUCCUCCUAAAGAGUAACGGAGGAGCACGAAGGUUGGCUAAUCCUGGUCGGACAUCAGGAGGUUAGUGCAAUGGCAUAAGCCAGCUUGACUGCGAGCGUGACGGCGCGAGCAGGUGCGAAAGCAGGUCAUAGUGAUCCGGUGGUUCUGAAUGGAAGGGCCAUCGCUCAACGGAUAAAAGGUACUCCGGGGAUAACAGGCUGAUACCGCCCAAGAGUUCAUAUCGACGGCGGUGUUUGGCACCUCGAUGUCGGCUCAUCACAUCCUGGGGCUGAAGUAGGUCCCAAGGGUAUGGCUGUUCGCCAUUUAAAGUGGUACGCGAGCUGGGUUUAGAACGUCGUGAGACAGUUCGGUCCCUAUCUGCCGUGGGCGCUGGAGAACUGAGGGGGGCUGCUCCUAGUACGAGAGGACCGGAGUGGACGCAUCACUGGUGUUCGGGUUGUCAUGCCAAUGGCACUGCCCGGUAGCUAAAUGCGGAAGAGAUAAGUGCUGAAAGCAUCUAAGCACGAAACUUGCCCCGAGAUGAGUUCUCCCUGACCCUUUAAGGGUCCUGAAGGAACGUUGAAGACGACGACGUUGAUAGGCCGGGUGUGUAAGCGCAGCGAUGCGUUGAGCUAACCGGUACUAAUGAACCGUGAG
rnacentral:rRNA from 1 species